ACCUUAAUUGUUCUUGUUAACCUCAUCCUCAGGCUCCUGCUUCCUGACCAAGGCCUGGUCAUCUCAACUCUGUCCUCAGCCAGUCUCCCGCUGCUGACUUCUGGCUAAUUGGUCUUUCUAUAAUACCACAUCCAGCUGAUCUCCCAGGAAGGGGACAAACAGGAAAAUCCUUACCAGUCCUCUGCACUGCUGUCCUGCAUAUGACAAGAGAACAUUAUGUUCCCCAGUCUCUCCAGAUACAAACUGACCCAGGAGAUAGAAACAUCUAGAAUACCAGUAUCAAUGAAGGUAUGACUCAGGCUA
rnacentral:lncRNA from 1 species